rnacentral:rRNA from 1 species
UACGAAGGGGGCGAGCGUUGUUCGGAUUUACUGGGCGUAAAGGGCGCGCAGGCGGCGGAUCAAGUCAGACGUGAAAGCCCCGGGCUUAACCUGGGAACUGCGUUUGGGACUGAUUUGCUAGAGAUCGGGAGAGGAGAGUGGAAUUCCCAGUGUAGAGGUGAAAUUCGUAGAUAUUCGGAAGAACACCAGUGGCGAAGGCGACUCGCUGGACAGACAUUGACGCUGAGGUGCGAAAGCGUGGGGAGCAAACAGG